AGGGAAUCUUCCGCAAUGGGCGAAAGUCUGACGGAGCAACGCCGCGUGAGUGAUGAAGGUUUUCGGAUCGUAAAGCUCUGUUGCCAGGGAAGAACGUCCGUUAGAGUAACUGCUAACGGAGUGACGGUACCUGAGAAGAAAGCCCCGGCUAACUACGUGCCAGCAGCCGCGGUAAUACGUAGGGGGCGAGCGUUGUCCGGAAUUAUUGGGCGUAAAGCGCGCGCAGGCGGCUGUUUAAGUCUGGUGUUUAAUCCUGGGGCUCAACCCCGGGUCGCACUGGAAACUGGACAGCUUGAGUGCAGAAGAGGAGAGUGGAAUUCCACGUGUAGCGGUGAAAUGCGUAGAGAUGUGGAGGAACACCAGUGGCGAAGGCGGCCUGCUGGGCUUUAACUGACGCUGAGGCGCGAAAGCGUGGGGAGCAAAC
rnacentral:rRNA from 1 species